UUUUUUUCUUUUUUUUUUUCCCCAGGACAUUUUACAGAUUUUCUUGCUUUAAGCCGGUCUAUUCAUGACUAUCUAGAUUUUUACAAAUUAGCUUUUAAAUAAUUAUGUAGUCAUAAGGAGAGCAUUCUUUAUUUUGGAAAAUAAUAUACAGUAAGCUUUCUUUAAGAUGUUUUCCAUCAUAAACGUUUAGCUUAGACACAGUUCUUCAGGAAUAUAAUUACUUAAAAAAUAAGGAUUACUUGCUGUCAAAACUAACUAUAAAAUCCUGUGUAGAGAUUGUGUAUGUGACAUUGAAAGCAAAAAAAGGUAUAAUCCUUGCCCAGUGAACUUCUUUGAAUAACUUGGUUAAAAUAAUCCUGUAACUUUUCUGUUGUGCAGAUUAUGUAUUUGAACUGUAACUUUUUUAAUGAAAAGUAAAAUAUGUAUUUUUAAACUCUCCAGCUGGAAUGUGACAAGGAUUUGCGCAUUAAAAUGGUUAGAAUUCAUGCCCUUUGUGCCGUUUUUGGACGUUUACUUCAAAUGAAUUCUUUUCUUGGCCGUAGAUGCUUUCAGAGAAUGAAUCUAUUGCAGGGAUGGAGAGCUUUUUGCUAAGAAUGCAUUCUUUCUCUGUAGCCCUCAGACGGCUAUUGACUGUAUGCCGAGCUAGACACUCUGGGCAUCCAGCCAUGAAGCAUCACUGCACUAGCACAGGUAGUUGUUGGCACCCUCCUGAGCCCUCCACGGCUCUAAACCACAACAGAAGGAUAGCCUUGGGAAAGCAGCUUUCACUGCUAUUUUGAACUCUUAAUAUUCUGUGUAGCUCUCUGAGCUCCAGCUCCGACUUUGGUUUUGUAAGAUGUAGCAGUUAAGGGUGGGCAGGAAUCUGGCUUCUGAAAUAUGUGUCUUCUAGGCCAGUGGAUUUCAUUGUUUGCUGUGGAAAAUAAGGAGCAUCGGGUUGUCUGUCCAGGGUCACCCUCCCCUUGUUUGCCUCUUGGUCGAAACUCUUCUCUCCUGGAGAGUGACCUGCCCAAAGACACCAGGCCCAGGCCCAGAGGAGAGAGCCUGUGGGCGAGCCGGCUCCCACGACUCCCAUCACACUCGGUCUACUUCCUCGGAAACCUUUUUUGACACAAAAAUAUUUUAAAAUUUUUGUACAAAAGUAUGAAAAUGAAAAAUGCGUAACUGUCAGCUCAUCUUUGUUAAAAGAUUUCGACUUUUCUGAACAUCUUGUAUUUGUAUAAAUCCAGACUUUGCUGUGAUCUUCUAGAAUACAAACAUCUGAAGUUGCUUUUUUCCUUCAAGAAGACUUUCUCUGUUUUCUUCUUUAGAACCUUUUAGAAAUCGGUACUCUGUUAACAUCUUCAUAAUGUCCUUCUCCUGUGAAGGCCUGAAAUGCCACCCUCCAGUGUCACAGUAUCUAGUCAGGUUAUUCUCAGCGUAGGAGAACCCCUGUCUGUGGCUGAGUCCCUUUCUAUGGUGCUGGCAGAGGCAGCUAGUGCCCAGGUGGUUACUGAAAGUAGGUGCUUCUCUGGAUUCAUUUUCUCUUAUUAAGCUUAUUAAGAAUAAGAUUUCCCACAACUAAAAUCAGUUCCUUGAGUUGAGCCUGGCAAAGGCAUUGUUUACUUUUUAUUCCCAAAGCUAAUUUUUAAAUUUUUCUUUUAAUAAACGAAUAAGACAGCAACCAGUCUAAGUUAAGAUGGCAACCAGGAGUUAAAGGUACGGUCUGAAGCUGGGAAAUGGCAUCAGAAGCACAGCUUAUCACCUUCCCAACCCCUGGUGCUGUAAAAAGGUGUGAACAUUAGGAGUUAUGGGGAAGGGGGUUACUCCUUAGACUGUUACGCCGCCGCAGUCUCACACCAUAUAGGAAAUGCAGCAGGGAGGGCAAAGAGCUUGGGAAGGGAAUUUACAGUAAUGGGCUUUGUUCUUCAGGAGGCUGGUGUGUUUUUGUUUUUGUUUUCUGGGUUUUUUUUUUUUUUUUUUUUUUUUUUGACGUUUAAUGCCACACCUGCAGCAUGUGAACGUUCCCAGGCUAGAGGAUCAAACUGGAGUUGUAGCUGCCAGCCCACACCACAGCCACAGCCACACCAGAUCCAAGCCAUGUCUGCGACACACCACAGCUCACAGCAACGCCGGAUCCUUAACCCUCUGAGCGAGGCCAGGGAUCUAACCCGCAACUUCAUGGUUCCUAUCAGAUUCGUUAACCACUGCGCCAUGACGGGAACUCCUGGAAUAGUUUUUUAAUUAGUCUCUCUUCCUCUGGUCUGUGUCCCAUGAUCCACCUGCUGGUAUUAACUGGAUGCUCUCUGGGCACUUUGUGUGUGUCAUCCAUUCCUCAGCAGCAGCUUGUAAGGGAGCUGCUGCUACUGUGUUCAUUCUCCAGAUUGGGAAGCUGAGGCUGAUGGGAGCUGAAUAAUUUGCCCAAAGUCAGAUCCUUAAUAACAUGUCCAGGUCCUCUGCUACUAGUCUAGCUCUUUGUCAUCUCCCUGUGCCGCUUGCUGAAAGCCAGACCUGGUCAUGUCACUCCUUUCGUUAUAAAAACGAAGUGCCUCCUCUGUUCAGUGGGCACAGUGAAGAUGGACACCUCCCUGCCCUCCUUGAGGUGUCCUGCUGGUGAAGGAAACAGGCACCACACACGUAAAGGCAAACGAAAAACGGAGUUAGCAGUCAAAGGUGGCGAAGCUUCCUUGAGUUAACGGAACUCUGUGGUGGUGUCUAGUUAAAUAGCCACCUUCCACAUCUCCCCGCUGAGGCUGCCCAGUGACACCUUGGGGCUUAGAGAAGCCCAGCAGCAGAAGAAAUGCACCUGCCUUCUUCGUUAGCCCAGCCAGUCUUCCCCAGAAUCACGCGACCACAAACACCUCCUGGUAGUUCAGUGAAGGGCUUGGGGGUGUGGAAAGAGAGGGUGCCUCGUCAUUCAGAAGAGAGAGGAUGAUGGCACCCUUGGGGUCCGGCAGGACUUUAUUUAAAAGGGGUCCUGGAAGGCUGAUAGGAUUUGGCUGAACAGAAGGGAUAUCUACAAGGAGACACGUUUAGGAAACAUUUUGGAAAGUGCCUCACCAUAACAGCUGGAACUCUGUGGUUUUAUGGAGUAAACGAACACUGCGACCUUGCAGUAAGUGGAGGGUUUGUGUUAGCAGGAAGCUUGAGAAGGGGCUGUACGGGUAGAAUCUCCAGCCUUUGGCUGGUUAGGAACUUUUGAUAGUCGUUGUUGGGCAUGAUCUGAACCAAGUGGUAGAUGAGAAACUUGCGUUGAGCUGAGACAUAGUUGAGGGAUUGGAGGGGGAGAUCAGAAGCGUGAAAACCGUGGCUAGAGUGGUUGUCUGUGUAAAGUGAGGCAAGCUGAGACCGGCAGGGCCGAGUAGGGCCGAGCCGAAAAGGUAUUGGGAAGAAUCAGCAGGACAAAACAGUUGAGAAUGACUGGUGUGGGCUGCUGGGAGGACCCAGUCCCAAGAGGUCAGGCACAGUGCUCACUGCUCUUCCAGGCAUGUUCCAGAGAGGCUUUAAAUGAAGUAAAUAAAGAAGCUUCUGUUAAAAUGUUUGAUUAAAUACAUAUAGUGAGUGCUUUUAAAAUGCUGAUGGGGCAAGAUGGCAGAUAAUAUAGCAGUUUUAGGAGAGUUUAUUGUUUGAGGUUCUGGUGUAGAGAUUUGAUUCCCAGCACAAGUCCCAGUAAGUAAUGAGCCAUGUAAUAAUAGGGCUCUGCUCUUAAUUAUGGUGAGUACUCUCAAUGAAAUCGAAUUUUCUUAGUACCAUCCGUGGAAAAAAAUUUAACUCUGACUUUACAUAACAGUCCCAGAUAGAGUGUGAACUCUGUGGAUAUGGGAUAGUGACAGAAAAAAAGAGGAAACAAAUCUCCAAUAUUUGCAGAAAAUGUAAGCUCAGAUUAUAACAUAAAUAUAUGAGUGUUUGUGGCGGCUCUGUUGAAGUUGUUACUAGCUAGACUCUAAACCCCAGCACAAACCCCUUCCAGAUUUCAUCAUCACGACUGGUUCUCGGUUAGAUUUUGAGUUCCUUGUUAGCAUGGAUGGUAAUGCUUUUAUCUUUGUAAUACCUACAGUAUUUUGUGGAUUCAGUUGUUUAAAAAAAAGUUCAGGGAGUUCCCAUCGUGGCUUAGCGGAAACAGAUCUGACUAGCAUCCAUGAAGAUGCAGGUUCAAUCCCUGGCCUCACUCAGUGGGUUAAGGAUCCAGCAUUGCCGUGAACUGUGGUGUAGGUCACAGAUGUGGCUCAGAUCUGACAUUGCUGUGGCUGUGGUGUAGGCUGGCAGCUACAACUCCAAUUCAACCUCUAGCCUGGAAACUUUCAUAUGCCGUGCAUAUGGCCCUAAAAAGAUGAACAAAACAAAACAAAACAAUUCAGUUUUAUUGAAUUGCUUCUGCAAAUGAUAGUGGGGGAAGGGGAGAGAUUGCUAAUGAAUACUUUUCCUUUGUUUUUUUUAAGACUUUUUGGGGUAAUGACCAACUGUAUUUUCAGCUAGUCAGCCUGUCAUGUGGGUGUGGAAUGCACCUGCAGGUGUGAGGAGAAUUAGGGGGGUGAGUCCAUUGGAACAGUCCCCAGCGAGAUGCCCUGCACCAGGUUUUCUGUGGGCACCUGUAGGAAUGGGCAGCUCUCUCUCCCUGAGGCCACUGGGCACUGCCAGUAAGUGCCACCAGCCACUUAGGAAGAAAUCAUGUGUGAUAUUUAUGAUGGACGUAUGAGCGCUAGGUAUAACUCCUGGUUUGCCUUUCACAGGUCGGGUGACCGUCUGCAGAUCCUAGCCAUUGGAAAGAUGAGCGUUAUAACUCACAGGGUCAUUCUGGCCAGCCCACGGUGCCUGGUUGGCAUGUAGAGAAUGUAUUAUUUCUGUUCUCUUCUGGGGGCCUCUGGAAAGCAGACCGAGGUUUAAAAAGAUGUUGUCAAAAUUCUUUCCUUUGAAAUCAAUCUGUGUUGACUCAUAAUUUGAGUACUCCUUUAGUACAGUUAUUAAAUAUAGUUACAUAAUUAGCUCACACACAUGCCUAUUUAACCUGUGAGGGCAGAAUUUUGAUUAUGUAGGUCCCAUGGCUUAAGAAAAUGGGGUUUUCUCUUCAACUUGUCUUUAAACUAGAUCUCAAAUUAGCGGACAUUGAUUUCAGAAUUCAGCCUUUAGGAUUCCUCAGAAGUUUUUCUUGCCUUUCAUUUGUCGCUCCCUUAACAUCUCCCCUGCUUUUUUUCAUUUGCUCUUUUCAUGUUGUCAGGGUUUUUUGUUUGUUUUUACGUUUUCUCUCCUGAAACUUUGCACUCAGAGAUAGGAGUAAAGGCCUAUUUUGAGGCAGUAGGAUGGAUAGUGUGCUUUCUUUCAUCUCAGUGUAUUAUUGUUUUGCUAACAUGCCUUUUUGCUCUGAAGAUAUAAAUUCACAACUGGAGAAAGAAUCCCAAACUUCAUAAUAACUCUGUAGUUUCCUGAGUGCUUAUUGUGUGCCAAGUACAGGGCAUUUUAGUACAUUAGCUGAUGUCUUCUCAUCCAUAGUGAAGAGACGAAGGCGCCUUGGAGAGUCAGGCCUGGCUGCUUGCUGUGACCGUGCUCCUGACCUGUUCUCUUGUUCCCCCUUGUUCAGUCCCAGGGACAGGGUGGUUUUUAUUAUCUUUAAAGACCUAAGAGAUCUUGGGGCCCUGACUUUGAUGGAUGGCAUUUGGCCUAUUUUAAUUACAAAAACUUAUCAAAUGUUAACAUAAAUUACCUGUGUCUAGUGGGUUCAUAGCCCCAAAUAGUGUCGUUUGGGGUCUUAAAGUGUGUUGAACUGAUUUUGAUGUGUUUAUAAGAGACAUUAUCACUGUUUGAAAAACCCGAUAGUGCUCUUUCCUCCCUGAUUUCUAAUUCUGGCAUCUAGAAUGCAGCUGAGACAAGAGCACGUCUGUGAGACAAACAGAGAUCUCAUGAGAGCUCAUGGAUUAACUUUUUUCCACCACAGCAGCAGGUUUUUCUUAAAGCGUUGUUUGAAAAUUAACAUUACUGAAAAUUUAAGCCUACCUAAAGGGAUUCUAGUUUUGAUCUCAAUUAUAAAAAGUAGGAAGACAUUUCAUAAAAAUCUGUGUCCCCUUAGCACUAGAAUGCUUUGGCUGUGAGUGGGAUAAGCUAGAAGUAAGCUGCCUUUGAUAGACGUGAGCGGUGUGUGAUAACUGUCUCUAUCUAUUCAACUACUUCCUGUUCAAUCUCACAUCGCAGCUGGAAAGCAAUUUCCUCACUUGACCCAUUUUUCUUCUGUAUUGUGUCUUUCUUCUGGUUCUUUAACAAAUAGUUUGAAGGAAUGGAGUGUCGUAAAGCCUUACACACUUGUAAGGUGAGGCAAUUCAGGCACCUGCUUUGGAAUAAGCAUACUCUCUUGUGUUUCAUUAUUUGGCUCCCUGGUUGGGCGGAUAACAGUUUUGCUCCUUUACUUUCAUGUCACUGUUUUCAGAAGAGAGAGAUUUUAAAGCUUGAAAAUGGUAGGCAUUUGAGUAAAGACAAAAACAGGUGUAUGGGGGUAAGGAUCUUGUUUUAGUAACAUGGACAAUUUAUGAAUGUUAUAAUUUUAGUAAGCAUAUAUGCAGUAAGUCUAGCAUUAAUAGAUCCACAUUGUAAAAUGCCUGUUUAUCCAAAGACGGAGGUCUCUUGGUAUCAUUGGCUUGUUACUGUUAAUGCCACCCUUAGUCACAGGUAUGACGUUAUCAUGUGAUAACUUUUGUCCCACACCCAUGGCUUAUAGAGUGCUUGGGUUGCCUUCUCUUUUUGCCAGAUCAAAUUCUAAAUGUCCUAACACACCGAACAUAACGCCAGUCUCCUUCUUGAAACCAUCUCUGACUUUACGUGUAUAAGCUCUCUCUUUUCUGUUUCUGCUCACACCUUUGGUGACCUCACUUAGCCCUGUGACUUUAAAUUUACCACACAUACCCUGAAGACUCCUAGGUUUUUGCUUGUUUUGUGAGGGGGUUUUUUGGCCAGCCUGGACUGCAUAGAUAUUUGCAUAUCUAGUUGCCUUCUCACCACCUGCACAGGACUGUUUAGUGAGCAUUUCCAGCCCACAGGGCCAGACCUGGCCCUGCUCUUGCCCCAGGACCACUCUGCCUGCACUCCUCUCUGUCUUCCUCGAGAGCGCUUACCCCCUUCUGGUCGCUCCAGUCUAAACCCUAGAGUCUUCCUUGGCUCCCUCUUUCUUUCCAUGUACAGUACAUAAGAAACUAAGAGAUUUCUAAGUGAUCCAUGGGUCAAAGAAGAGAAAUACUUGGAACUAAAUUUAAAAAACCAAAUACAACAUAUCAGAAAUCAUAUGAUGCUGCUAAGCUGUGCUAAGAGGGAAAUUUAUGGCAUUAAAUGUCUCUAUUGGAAAAGGAGAACGAUCUCAGAUCAGUAAUUUAAGCGUUUAUCUUAUUCCAAAAAGUGAAGAACAAACUAAACCCAAUAGCAAGUAAAAAGAAGGAGAUAAAGGUUAGAGUGGAAGUCGGUGACGUAGAAACAGAAAGCAGUAGAAAGGAUCAAUAGAACCAAAAUUAAUUGAUUAAUUGAAAAUUAAUUUCAGCCGGUUAAUUGAAGAUAUCAGCAAAAUUGACAAACCUGUAGCUAGAUUGACCAAGAAAAAGAGAGAAGAUACAAGGUACCAAAAUCAAGAAUGAAGAGGGGCGUUGAGUAUUGAUCUUAUAGAAAUUAAGUUGAUAGUCUGAAUAACUUUGUACCAACAAGUUAGAUAGCUUAUAUGAAAUGGACAAAAUUCUAGAAAUAGGCAAAUUGCCAAAACUGACUCAAGAAAAAUGAAAAGUCUGAAUAGACAUAUAAUGAGUAAAGAAAUUGAAUUGAUAAUUAACAAUUUUGCCACAAAGAAAAGCCCAAGUUAUUUUGGCUUCAGUGGUAAAUUCUGUCAGACAUAUAAAGAACUAAUACCAAAAAAGAAAAAAAA
rnacentral:lncRNA from 1 species